ensembl:lncRNA
CUGCAUGGCUUUUCUCAGUCAGCCAGUCAUCAAUAAAUCUCUCCACACCACAUUGCAUAAAAGUACCAGGCAGGUGUCUCCAUCAGGGCCCUUAUUUGGCUAUAUAUGAGCACAAUUCCACAGCAAGAUGUUAACUAUAGGCCAAUAAUUGGCAAAGAACAGGGUGGCUUUUAAUCCCUUACACAGCGCUCCUACAAUAAAGGGCAGACUCAUAGCUGGUAGCUGCUAAAAGGGAGGGAAAAAAAAAAAAAAAAGCAAAAAACCCAUUCGGUACAGAAUGCAGAGUUCAGCAGACUGCCCAGACUAUAAUCUAAUCUAUGAAGGUCACAAUAGCCAUGCCUUGCAGUCUCGCAGAUCACUUCCACUUCUCUAGGAUUAUCUUUUCCAACGUGACUGUCACAGAGUUAUCUAGAUCAAUCUACAUCAAUCUACGCCCGUGACAGGGGGGCAGUGGGUUUGUGGGUGCCCUGGCUCGCAACAAUGGGAAUGGGGAAAGGGAAAGGGGCAGGGGAACGGGAGCUGGGCUCAGAGAGGGAAAAAGAACGGAGCAGCGGCAACGAUGUAAGGAGGAAAACUUACUUUACUAACUAUGGUAUCAGAAUGCAAGACAAUGCAAUAUAAUACAAUCCAAUUGAAAGUAAGGGUAAUAAGUCAAAUAAAAUAAGAGAGAGAAAGUUUCCGAAACUGAAAGGCCUACUUGAAUGAAGGCGCAUGGCUUGGAAGCACACCCACCCCUCUGCCUGGCUGCCAGAGAGAGAGUGUGAGCCAGAUCCCGUGACUUCUGUGCCGUAUCUUCCUUCUCUGACCGCUGAUUGAGCGCCGGGGGAAAGGAGCCAGUCAGCCCUGGGAGUGCAGGUGAAGGCUUUUUCCAUUGUCAGAGAGGGGAGAUUUAGAUGGGACGUCAGGAGGAAAUCCUUGACCCUGCCCACUGCAAUGUGCUGCCCAGAGAAGCCAUGGAUUCCCCAUUCCUCGAGGCGUUGGAGACCGGGUUGGAUGGGGCCCUGAGCAGCGUGAUGGAAAGGGUGGCAGCCCUGUCAUCCAACGGCAGGGAGUUGGACUGGGAU